GACGAACGCUGGCGGCGUGCUUAACACAUGCAAGUCGAACGAUGAAGGGGUGCUUGCACCCUGGAUUAGUGGCGAACGGGUGAGUAACACGUGAGUAACCUGCCCUUCACUCUGGGAUAACUCCGGGAAACCGGUGCUAAUACUGGAUAUGACCUCAACCUGCAUGGGUAUGGGGUGGAAAGCUUUUGUGGUGGAGGAUGGACUCGCGGCCUAUCAGCUUGUUGGUGGGGUAAUGGCCUACCAAGGCGACGACGGGUAGCCGGCCUGAGAGGGUGACCGGCCACACUGGGACUGAGACACGGCCCAGACUCCUACGGGAGGCAGCAGUGGGGAAUAUUGCACAAUGGGCGAAAGCCUGAUGCAGCGACGCCGCGUGAGGGAUGACGGCCUUCGGGUUGUAAACCUCUUUCAGUAGGGACGAAGCUUUUGUGACGGUACCUACAGAAGAAGCACCGGCUAACUACGUGCCAGCAGCCGCAGUAACAC
rnacentral:rRNA from 1 species